rnacentral:rRNA from 1 species
AUGGCUCAGUGAGGCCUUGGGAUUGGCCAGGGGAGACGGGUAACCAUCACCCCAGGCCGAAAACUUGGUCAAACUUGGUCAUUUAGAGGAAGUAAAAGUCGUAACAAGGUUUCCGUAGGUGAACCUGCGGAAGGAUCAUUACCGAGUUAGGGUUCUCUCCCGAGGCCCGACCUCCCAACCCUGUGUCUAACAAACCUGUAUGUGUUGCUUCGGUGGACCGGCAGUCCCCUCACGGGGGUCCGUCGCCGGGGGAGACAACGGCCUCACGGCCCGCCCCUGGAGAGUGUCCGCCGAUGGCCCCAUUAACAAACCUUCCCAAACCCAAAAUCUUGUACCUAAAACUUCUGAAUCAGACAUUUUGAUGUACCAAUCAAAAAACAAAACUUUCAACAACGGAUCUCUUGGUUCUGGCAUCGAUGAAGAACGCAGCGAAAUGCGAUAAGUAAUGCGAAUUGCAGAAUUUCCGUGAGUCAUCGAAUCUUUGAACGCACAUUGCGCCCUUUGGCAUUCCGAAGGGCAUGCCUGUUCGAGCGUCAUUAUCCUCUCUCAAACCUCGGGUUUGGUGUUGGACCGCGUUGGACCUCCCCAUGGCCAACUGGUCUCAAAGACAAUGACGGCGUCCCCGGGACCCUCUUCGCACUGAGCUUUCUGAAAGCACGCGUCGAGUUUCACGGGCCCAGGGACCCGGUCACCCCUAAAACUUCUUUAAGGUUGACCUCGGAUCAGGUAGGAAUACCCGCUGAACUUAAGCAUAUCAAUAAGCGGAGGAAAAGAAACCAACAGGGAUUGCCUCAGUAACGGCGAGUGAAGCGGCAACAGCUCAAAUUUGAAAUCUGGCCUCACGGUCCGAGUUGUAAUUUGUAGAGGAUGUUUUGGGCACCGCCCCGGGUUAAAUUUCUUGGAACAGAAUGUCAAAGAGGGUGAGAGUCCCGUCUUGGCCCGCGGUAGGACCUAUGUAAAACUCCUUCGACGAGUCGACUUGUUUGGGAAUGCAGGUCAAAAUGGGUGGUAAAUUUCAUCUAAAGCUAAAUAUUGGCCAGAGACCGAUAGCGCACAAGUAGAGUGAUCGAAAGAUGAAAAGCACUUUGAAAAGAGAGUUAAACAGUAUGUGAAAUUGUUGAAAGGGAAGCGCUGGCAACCAGACUCGAGCGCGGUGUUCCCCCUUGCUUCUGCCUGGGUUAUUUCACCGUGACCGGGCCAUCAUCAGUUUUGGGGGUUGGUUAAAGAUUCGGGGAAUGUAUCCUCUCUUUCGGGGGAGGACUUAUAGCCCCGGAUGUCAUGCAGCCUCCCGGGACUGAGGAACGCGCUUCGGCGAGGAUGAUGGCGUAAUGGUUGUCAGCGACCCGUCUUGAAACACGGACCAAGGAGUCUAACAUCUAUGCGAGUGUUCGGGUGUCAAACCCUUGCGCGGAAUGAAAGUGAACGGAGGUAGGAAGGCUUGAGCCUGCACUAUCGACCGAUCCUGAUGUCUUCGGAUGGAUUUGAGUAAGAGCAUAGCUGUUGGGACCCGAAAGAUGGUGAACUAUGCGUGAAUAGGGUGAAGCCAGAGGAAACUCUGGUGGAGGCUCGCAGCGGUUCUGACGUGCAAAUCGAUCGUCAAAUUUGCGUAUAGGGGCGAAAGACUAAUCGAACCAU